rnacentral:tRNA from 1 species
GCGCGCGUAGCUCAGCGGCAGAGCAAGGUCCUUAUAAGGCCGAGGUCGCAGGUUCAAAUCCUGCCGCGCGCACCU